rnacentral:rRNA from 1 species
CGUGAAGCUGGAUUCGCUAGUAAUCGCGCAUCAGCCAUGGCGCGGUGAAUACGUUCCCGGGCCUUGUACACACCGCCCGUCAAGCCAUGGGAGCCGGGGGUGCUUGAAGUGCGUCGCCGCAAGGCGCGCCCUAGAGCAAAACCGGUNACUGGGGCUAAGUCGUAACAAGGUAAC